rnacentral:rRNA from 1 species
UACAGAGGUCCCGAGCGUUGUUCGGAUUCACUGGGCGUAAAGGGUGCGCAGGUGGGCUGGUAAGUUCGAUGUGAAAGCCCCGGGCUUAACCCGGGAAUGGCAUUGGAUACUACUGGUCUGGAGGAUUGGAGGGGGGACUGGAAUUCUUGGUGUAGCAGUGAAAUGCGUAGAUAUCAAGAGGAACACCAGUGGCGAAGGCGAGUCCCUGGACAAUACCUGACACUGAGGCACGAAAGCCAAGGGAGCAAACGGG